rnacentral:rRNA from 1 species
AUUGAACGCUGGCGGCAGGCCUAACACAUGCAAGUCGAGCGGAAACGAGUUAACUGACCCUUCGGGUGACGUUAACGGCGUCGAGCGGCGGACGGGUGAGUAAUGCCUGGGAAAUUGCCCUGAUGUGGGGGAUAACCAUUGGAAACGAUGGCUAAUACCGCAUAAUAGCUUCGGCUCAAAGAGGGGGACCUUCGGGCCUCUCGCGUCAGGAUAUGCCCAGGUGGGAUUAGCUAGUUGGUGAGGUAAUGGCUCACCAAGGCGACGAUCCCUAGCUGGUCUGAGAGGAUGAUCAGCCACACUGGAACUGAGACACGGUCCAGACUCCUACGGGAGGCAGCAGUGGGGAAUAUUGCACAAUGGGCGCAAGCCUGAUGCAGCCAUGCCGCGUGUGUGAAGAAGGCCUUCGGGUUGUAAAGCACUUUCAGCAGUGAGGAAGGCGGGUACGUUAAUAGCGUAUUCGUUUGACGUUAGCUGCAGAAGAAGCACCGGCUAACUCCGUGCCAGCAGCCGCGGUAAUACGGAGGGUGCGAGCGUUAAUCGGAAUUACUGGGCGUAAAGCGCAUGCAGGUGGUUCGUUAAGUCAGAUGUGAAAGCCCGGGGCUCAACCUCGGAACUGCAUUUGAAACUGG